CGCGCAACAGAAGACGCGCAUUUCAUUGACCAGUCCAUGGUCGAAGCCGUAAGAUCAAGCCAAUAGUGACCGUGCGGUGCCUACGGGAACACGUUUCGGUUCGUCAGUUUCGUUAGCGGGUACGUUCCCUAAUACAGUAGUACGUGGAAACAAAAGGAGAAAAAGAGAAGAAGUACAAAGGGAGUCUCCAUCUUUGUUUAUUCAGUCGGGUAGUCGUCUAGCUAGGUCGAGUGGAAAGGAAAUAACGAAAGAGGAAGAACAAGAAGAACAAGAAGAAGAAGAAGAAGGGUCUUUUGAUCAUAAUCGUCUCAUAGUCGUCAUAAUCGUCGACUACUUACUUAUAAUAUCCAUUUAUUUCGAUCGCUAACCAAUUUUAAGAAGCUAAAGGAAAACUGCAACUCUUCUUCAGCAAUACCAGUAUUCAGCGGCGAGAAUCGCGCAGCAGGACUAGCAACAGCAGCAGCAGCAGCAGCAGCAGAGAAGAGGAAAGUUGCCGAGGGGAGGGGAGGGCCAGGAAGCUAAUCCUCGACGAAGACGUCGGGAACGAGCAGGCGGCUCAUUUUUCGAAGGAGACCCGUUGUCAUCGUGGGUGAGGAAACGUGGCGAGGAACGCCAUGCCGGCAGGUAUUGGCGCUUCGUACAGGUCCUUAGGCGACCUGGGCGAAGACGUUUACAAAAGCACGACGAUCGUCGACCAGACCCAGAGCACCGGCCAAAGCGUUCUCGAGAGCGUCAAGAAGGCUUUCAGCUUCGCUUCCCCUAAAGUGGAAAUCAGGAAAAAGGAUCCAUUGAUCGAGGAUCGACGAGAGAGCGUAUCGAUCGUAUCAAGGGACAGAAACAAGAUGCCGACCGCCGCCACCGCCGAGAAAACUGCACUUUUGGGCACGAUGCCUUCGUGCAUGCGAGAUAGUAUGGACGAUAUCGAGCUGAAGAAUAUUCAGUUACAAUUUCCGGCCCUGAGGUAUUUGUCGAGAGACGAUAGUUCUGUACAAGAGGAAAGAGUAGAACUGGACAAAGGUAGUCUGCUAGUUGCCGUACAAGGAAACCAGACGAAACCAGCGAUCCUUACUUAUCACGAUUUAGGCCUUAAUUAUAUCUCGAGCUUCCAGGCGUUCUUCAAUUACAUCGACAUGCGUGUUCUCCUUGAAAAUUUUUGCGUCUAUCACGUCAAUGCCCCUGGUCAAGAAGAAAAUGCCCCGGCGCUUCCGGAGGAUUACGUUUAUCCGUCCAUGGAGGAGUUAGCUGAACAGCUGCUUUUCGUUCUUGGUCAUUUCGGCUUAAGAUCUGUCAUUGGUUUCGGAGUUGGUGCGGGUGCCAAUAUAUUGGCUAGAUUUGCCCUUGCACAUCCAGAAAAAGUCAAUGCACUUUGCCUGAUCAAUUGCGUAUCUACGCAAGCAGGAUGGAUCGAAUGGGGUUACCAGAAGCUCAACGUUCGUCAUCUGAGGUCGCAAGGAAUGACGCAAAGCGUCCUUGAUUAUCUGAUGUGGCAUCAUUUUGGCAGGGGUACGGAAGAAAGAAACCACGAUCUCGUUCAAGUGUACAAGAAUUAUUUCGAACAUCGCGUUAAUCCAAUAAACCUGGCAUUGUUCAUCGAUAGUUAUCUGCGACGUACCGAUUUGAACAUCACCAGAGAACUGGAUCCUACUCGCAAGAAGGAAGGUCUUACGCUUAGCGUACCAGUCAUGAACAUCACGGGUGCUCUGAGUCCGCACGUGGACGAUACGGUCACGUUAAAUGGACGGUUAGAUCCAACGAACAGCACCUGGAUGAAGAUCUCCGAUUGCGGUAUGGUCCUCGAGGAACAACCGGGCAAAGUAAGCGAGGCCUUUCGACUGUUUCUUCAAGGCGAAGGAUAUGCGGUGAGAUCCUCGCGGAAGCCCAUGACGCCGACAACACCCGAAGAGAAAAAGCGUCUCUUGUUGUAGCGGCACAUACCGAUGGUAGGACCUCGGAAUAAUCUUAAUCUCUGAAAGAAAGAACACCGCAUCUGGUGGCCCCACUUUCGCCAUUGAAGAUGGCCGACUAUAGAUUGGCUUCUCUGGAAGGACUGAAUCAUGUUUGCAGCAAGAAAAUCGAUUGGCCUACAGCGACUAUACACAUCACCGAGAAUCCUAUAUCGGAAGCGGUUGUUUGUUAAAUGUUUCUCGAUGAAUCUCAA
rnacentral:misc_RNA from 1 species